AGUGAACGCUGGCGGCGUGCCUAAUACAUGCAAGUCGAACGAAGUGGCGCACGGGUGAGUAAUAUAUAGUUAAUCUGCCCUACACAGAGGAACAACAGUUGCUAACAACUGCUACUACCUCAUAGUGUAGGAUGAGACUAUAUCGUAUCAGCUAGUUGGUAAGGUAAUGGCUUACCAAGGCUAUGACGCGUAACUGGUCGUAGAGGAUGAUCAGUAAAAUUGGAACUGAGGCACGGUCCAAACUCCUACGGGAGGCAGCAGUAAGGAAUAUCGCGCAAUGGGGGAAACCCUGACGCAGCAACGCCGCGUGGAGGAUGACACUUUUCGGAGAGGAAGCUCCGUUUAUCAGGAAAGCGUUACCCGAUGAAUAAGCACCGGCUAACUCCGUGCCAGCAGCCGCGGUAAUAC
rnacentral:rRNA from 1 species